AGAGAAUGAAUCUAGUACUGAAAUCAUAACCUACAGCUAUCUAGCACUGCAGUGCAUAAAAUGUGCUGAGUAGUUGACCUACAGAGAGAAAGACAAUAGUUUAAUAGUUUUUAACAAAAUAAUUUCUUCAAAAAUUAAGGAGAAGCAAGAGAAAGAGCUAUCUAUAUUUCAUUGCAUUUCUUUCACUUUCACUUAGCUCGUGAAUGCAGCUAGCUAGUUUAGCCUACUCAAACACCCAGCUCAAACAGAGGGAUGCUAUGUUAGCUAGCUGGCUAUCCAACACUUGAACUCUUCCAAGUCAAGAUGCACCAUUGAGAGCAUCCUGUCGGGCUGUAUCACGGCCUGGUACUGCAACUGCACCACCCGCAACCGCAGGGUACUCCAGAAGAAGUGGCGGUCUGCCCAACGCGUCACUGGGGGCACACUGCUUGCCCUCCAGGACACCUACAGCACCCGAUGCCACAGGAAGGCCCAAAAGAUCAUCGAGGACAUCAACCACCCGAGCUACGCCCUGUUCACCCCGCUAUCAUCCAGAAGGCGAGGUGGCGAAUCGCAUCUCUGCAUGUCUGGCAGACAUAUCAGUGUGGAUGACGGAUCACCACCUCAAGCUGAACCUCGGCAAGACGGAGCUGCUCUUCCUCCCGGGGAAGGACUGCCCGUUCCAUGAUCUCGCCAUCACGGUUGACAACUCCAUUGUGUCCUCCUCCCAG
rnacentral:lncRNA from 1 species